rnacentral:rRNA from 1 species
UACGUAGGGGGCAAGCGUUGUCCGGAUUUAUUGGGCGUAAAGAGCGUGUAGGCGGCUUUACAGGUCCGUUGUGAAAACUCGAGGCUCAACCUCGAGACGCCGGUGGAAACCGUAAAGCUAGAGUCCGGAAGAGGAGAGUGGAAUUCCUGGUGUAGCGGUGAAAUGCGCAGAUAUCAGGAAGAACACCCGUGGCGAAGGCGGCUCUCUGGGACGGUACUGACGCUGAGGUGCGAAAGCGUGGGGAGCAAACGGG